AGAGUUUGAUCCUGGCUCAGGACGAACGCUGGCGGCGUGCCUAACACAUGCAAGUCGAGCGGAGACAGUGAGUAGCUUACUAUGAGCUGUUUUAGCGGCGGACGGGUGAGUAACGCGUGAGCAACCUUUCCCAGACAGGGGAAUAACACACCGAAAGGUGUACUAAUACCGCAUAAGACCACGGAAUCACAUGGUUCUGAGGUAAAAGAUUUAUCGGUUUGGGGUGGGCUCGCGUCCGAUUAGGUAGUUGGUGAGGUAACGGCCCACCAAGCCGACGAUCGGUAGCCGACCUGAGAGGGUGAUCGGCCACAUUGGGACUGAGACACGGCCCAAACUCCUACGGGAGGCAGCAGUGGGGAAUAUUGCACAAUGGGGGAAACCCUGAUGCAGCGACGCCGCGUGAGCGAAGAAGUAUUUCGGUAUGUAAAGCUCUAUCAGCAGGGAAGAAAAUGACGGUACCUGACUAAGAAGCCCCGGCUAACUACGUGCCAGCAGCCGCGGUAAUACGUAGGGGGCAAGCGUUGUCCGGAAUAAUUGGGCGUAAAGGGCGCGUAGGCGGCUCGGUAAGUCUGGAGUGAAAGUCCUGCUUUUAAGGUGGGAAUUGCUUUGGAUACUGUCGGGCUUGAGUGCAGGAGAGGUUAGUGGAAUUCCCAGUGUAGCGGUGAAAUGCGUAGAGAUUGGGAGGAACACCAGUGGCGAAGGCGACUAACUGGACUGUAACUGACGCUGAGGCGCGAAAGUGUGGGGAGCAAACAGGAUUAGAUACCCUGGUAGUCCACACUGUAAACGAUGAAUGCUAGGUGUAGGGGGUAUCGACCCCUUCUGUGCCGCAGUCAACACAAUAAGCAUUCCGCCUGGGGAGUACGGCCGCAAGGUUGAAACUCAAAGGAAUUGACGGGGGCCCGCACAAGCAGCGGAGCAUGUGGUUUAAUUCGACGCAACGCGAAGAACCUUACCAGGUCUUGACAUCCACUUAAACUUACAGAGAUGUAAGGUGUGCUUGCACAAAGUGAGACAGGUGGUGCAUGGUUGUCGUCAGCUCGUGUCGUGAGAUGUUGGGUUAAGUCCCGCAACGAGCGCAACCCUUAUCUUCAGUUACUAACGCGUGAAGGUGAGGACUCUGAAGAGACUGCCGGGGACAACUCGGAGGAAGGUGGGGACGACGUCAAAUCAUCAUGCCCCUUAUGACCUGGGCUACACACGUGCUACAAUGGCCACGACAGAGAGAAGCGAAAUCGUAAGGUAGAGCGGAACUCAAAAAAGUGGUCCCAGUUCGGAUUGUGGGCUGCAACCCGCCCACAUGAAGUCGGAGUUGCUAGUAAUCGCGGAUCAGCAUGCCGCGGUGAAUACGUUCCCGGGCCUUGUACACACCGCCCGUCACACCAUGGGAGUUGGGAGUGCCCAAAGCCGGUGAGGCAACCGCAAGGAGCCAGCCGUCUAAGGCAAGACCAAUGACUGGGGUGAAGUCGUAACAAGGUAGCCGUAUCGGAAGGGGCGGCUG
rnacentral:rRNA from 1 species